GAGCAUAGCCUCUGUAAUGUGAUGAGGGUCUCUCCUGCCGUCGGCAGAAAUAUCAAAUUCAUUCUCCAAAUCAUCUGUAUCCUCCUCUUCUUCAUCCCCUUCAACUCUAGGACUCCCUUUGAUACGCUUGUAUCUGGUUUUGCAUUGAGGACAGGGCUUGGUUUCCCUCUCUUCUUUCAAACUCAUAGCAGGGUCUACAAACAGGGAAUGCACAUUCAUUGCAAGCAACAAAUGGCUCCCCAUCUACUGUAACCUCUAUCUCAU
rnacentral:misc_RNA from 1 species